GUUAUUUUGUACACAUGACAUUUAUUUGACAUUUCCUAUCUAAAGCCUAAUAAAUAAAAAAAAGUCUUAAAAAAUUUCUUUCGUCGGAUCUGUCAAUCCGUAAACAUGGCUCCGCGAUUUGAAAUUGCAGUCGGUCUGCGAAAAGGCCACAAAACAACCAAAAUAUCUGCCGGCAGAAAAGGUAUUACAGACAAAGCGA
rnacentral:lncRNA from 1 species